AACGCACAUUGCACCCGGUGGUAUUCCGCCGGGUAUGCCUGUCUGAGCGUCAUUUCUACCCUCAAGCACUGCUUGGUGUUGGCGGUCUACGUCUUGUAGCUGCUGAAAUUCAACGGCGGUAGCCCCUAUCCUCCCUGUAUAGUAUAAUUCUUGCAGCGGUAGAUGCGGGGCGGACCAGCCCUAAAGCUCAAUUUCAGAAAGUUGACCUCAGAUCAGGUAGGAAUACCCGCUGAACUUAA
rnacentral:misc_RNA from 1 species